rnacentral:rRNA from 1 species
GAUGAACGCUGGCGGCGUGCCUAAUACAUGCAAGUCGAGCGAACAGAUGAGGAGCUUGCUCCUCUGACGUUAGCGGCGGACGGGUGAGUAACACGUGGAUAACCUACCUAUAAGACUGGGAUAACUUCGGGAAACCGGAGCUAAUACCGGAUAAUAUAUUGAACCGCAUGGUUCAAUAGUGAAAGACGGUUUUGCUGUCACUUAUAGAUGGAUCCGCGCCGCAUUAGCUAGUUGGUAAGGUAACGGCUUACCAAGGCAACGAUGCGUAGCCGACCUGAGAGGGUGAUAGGCCACACUGGGACUGAGACACGGUCCAGACUCCUACGGGAGGCAGCAGUAGGGAAUCUUCCGCAAUGGGCGAAAGCCUGACGGAGCAACGCCGCGUGAGUGAUGAAGGUCUUCGGAUCGUAAAACUCUGUUAUUAGGGAAGAACAAAUGUGUAAGUAACUAUGCACGUCUUGACGGUACCUAAUCAGAAAGCCACGGCUAACUACGUG